CUCGGAGCACCGCGAGCGCACGGCGCAGCGGCCGGCCCGCGCCCUUAACCCUUCGCUGAGCGCCGCCGGGCUGGGCGGCCCCGGGGGGGCGGGCGCGCUUCCCAAAGACUCGCUUGCGAUCGGGGUGGGGCGGGGGGCGGAGGGCGGGAGGGGAGACCCGGGCCGCAGGGGACAGUUCUUCCAGGUUUGGGAAAGGGGCGGGGAGCUGAGGCGAUGAGGUAAUUUUAGCGGUGACCAGUCGGUCCUCGCGCGCCUCCCCAGGUCCCUGCACCUAGUUGGAGGGGACAGAGCGACAGCAGGGUGCAACUCAGGCACCUUGGAGGACUCUCCGAGGGGUGUCGGGCUUCAACUCCGAGCCCAUGAAAUACCCCAGGGGAAGGGGAGGUGGGCCAGAUCUGAUCCUGACAUACCCUUCGCCCUCGGCGCACCGAGAAGCGUUUAAGAGGGAUGACUCCGAUCGUCAUGCACGUUAACCCUCAAACCGGUUUAGCCUGGGCAUUCCGGAACCCAGACCACAGGGCCGCGGGGAUUGCCUUUGCGUGCAACUCAGGAAAGUCCGGAAAUCUGCGUUGAGUCUGGAACUACCCAGCUCCAGCCUUGGUAGACGACCCGCGCACUCCUCUUGCAGCUAAUUCGGGAUCAUUAAUUUAAUCGGAAAUGAGGUAACCAGUGUAGGAGAUAGAGAAAGCAAACCAAGCAUCGAAUGGCAGUUCUCGUGAAUCCACGCUGAAGAACUUCCUCUGGACUCGAUUUUUAAGCGCGGUUGUCAACACCCCACCACCCGGCCCCCUCCGCGUGUACCACCGCCAGGUGUUAGCUUGCCGGGAAGGAAUCUUCUUUGGAGGGGUGCACCUUGCCAACAGGUGUGGCACCUGGAGGAAGAGAAGGCACAUCCAUGCUAAAGGGAGGUCGGUGCGGCGUCCUCCUUAAUGCAGAUAAUUCUGGAAGACCAGUAGGUGUCGGGGCAGCAUUUGACCUCCUUCAGGUGCUUAGAACCAAGCGUCUGCAAACGUGAUCCCUCCACUACUGCAUUUCCGAAGAGCCUGAUUUAUGCACAAAUCUGCAUCAUCAUUGCUGAGAGAACACUCUGUGAGGAAUGUGCUGGGGUCCUGAACGUGAAGGUUUUCUUCACAGCAGCAGAGGGAGCACAAGAGUGCUUAGUAAAACAAGCGCACGGGCCCUCCAAGUGGUUCACUUCACUUUAUAUGUGAUGGAAAUGCUCCUAGGAGCUGAAAUAGUUCCAGAGUUCAACAGUCUGGGAAAUCUGAAGGAGGGAAAAAAACAAAAAAAAACAAAUAAGCCCUGCAUUUCCAAAGAUGUGAAGAGAGGACUCUGCUCUCUGAGGAUGGAAGGAAGUAAGAAGACCCUAUUUGUGGCUGCAGGAGAGGAAAAGAAAAAAGCCCACAAGGAAACUACCAGCAGAUGUUGUGGCAUAUGGGACGACGCCCCAGCGUGGCUUGAUGAGCAGUGCCAUGUCCGCGCCCAGGAUUCGAACCAACGAAACACUGGGCCACCUGCAGCGAAGCGCGCGAACUUAACCACUCGGCCACGAGUCGUGACAGAAGAAAUGCAGCAGGACAAAGGGGUUGGAAGGAUGUGAAAAAGAAAAGGAAAGGAAAAGAUGGUCAAACAUGCGUCUUCUGGCUGGAGGCCUGCUGUGACUGGACCAGAUCACCUGGAACCGUGCCUGAUUCAGACUUUUGUCACCAGGACUUCUUCCAGAACUGUGUUCUGCUGGCAGAGAGGACUCACUCAGAUAUCCAAAUAGCCUGGCCCAAUCUGAGCUCGUCAGGCCCUUUGACCACCACGUACUGGCCUGCCGAGCUGCCUCCUGGGGAUGGGCCAGCUUCUGAAGACACGCUCUGUCUCCUCUGUCCAACUAGAUCUUGGCUUCUUCCCCCUUCCCUUGGCUGUGCUGAUAUGGUCCCAGCCUGCCCUGCACCCAAAUGUCUCCUACAAAAGAGGAGGAGGCCAGUAGAGAUCAAGAGAAGCAGGCCUCAGGCCC
rnacentral:lncRNA from 1 species